ensembl:lncRNA novel transcript
UCAGCUCAGAUUCACGGGGAGGAGAUACAACAUUCACCUUUCGAUGAAAGUGGCAAGAUAAUAUCACAACAGUGCAUGUGGUAAGGGAAAUAUUGUGGUAAUUGUCUUUGGAAACACAAAAGACCACAAUGAUCCAAGCCCUUGAUCAUGUGGCCAUGAAAUCUUCACUUCUGUGGGGUGAGGAUCCAGCAAAAUCCUCAGUGACAACCCCCAGGAGGGUUUUCUUCCAGGUUGACUAAGUUGUCUGUGGGUAACAUUUUGUUAUAUUUGUGUAUUGGUUGCAACUAUCAAUUGGCUGCAGAUACAAGACUUUGGCAAAAAUCAAAAAAGCAUUUUGUGAGAAUCAGUUGAAUAUAUACAUUUUAUAAAACAGUAUCAUAUAUUUUAUGAUUAUUUGUAAACUUUGUGCCACAAAUCUUUUAGUGUUAAUAAAUUUUAUAAUAAAAGUA